CCUACGGGAGGCUGCAGUGAGGAAUAUUGGUCAAUGGACGCAAGUCUGAACCAGCCAUGCCGCGUGCAGGAAGACGGCUCUAUGAGUUGUAAACUGCUUUUGUACGAGGGUAAACGCAGAUACGCGUAUCUGUCUGAAAGUAUCGUACGAAUAAGGAUCGGCUAACUCCGUGCCAGCAGCCGCGGUAAUACGGAGGAUUCAAGCGUUAUCCGGAUUUAUUGGGGUGAAAGGGUGCGUAGGCGGUCGGAUAAGUUAGAGGGGCAAUCCCGAGGCUCCACUUCGGAAUUGCCUCUGCUACUGUUCGGCUAGAGCGUAGUUGCGGUAGGCGUUCUGUUUGGUGUAGCGGU
rnacentral:rRNA from 1 species